rnacentral:rRNA from 1 species
UAAGGAACUUGCCUCUUGGUCUGGGACAACUGUUGGAAACGACAGCUAAUACCAGAUAUUAUGAGAUUCUCGCAUGAGAAACUUAUGAAAGCUAUAUGCGCCAAGAGAGAGCCUUGCGUUCCAUUAGCUAGUUGGUGGGGUAACGGCCCACCAAGGCGACGAUGGAUAGCCGGCCUGAGAGGGUGAACGGCCACAAGGGGACUGAGACACGGCCCUUACUCCUACGGGAGGCAGCAGUGGGGAAUAUUGGACAAUGGGCCACAAGCCUGAUCCAGCAAUUCUGUGUGCACGAUGAAGGUCUUCGGAUUGUAAAGUGCUUUCAGUUGGGAAGAAGAAAGUGACGGUACCAACAGAAGAAGCGACGGCUAAAUACGUGCCAGCAGCCGCGGUAAUACGUAUGUCGCAAGCGUUAUCCGGAUUUAUUGGGCGUAAAGCGCGUCUAGGCGGAAAAAUAAGUCUGAUGUUAAAAUGCGGGGCUCAACUCCGUAUUGCGCUGGAAACUGUUUUUCUAGAGUACUGGAGAGGUGGGCGGAACUACAAGUGUAGAGGUGAAUUCGUAGAUAUUUGUAGGAAUGCCGAUGGAGAAGUCAGCUCACUGGACAGAUACUGACGCUAAAGCGCGAAAGCGUGGGGA